rnacentral:rRNA from 1 species
AAUUAAACUUUAGUGGCGAACGGGUGAGUAACGCGUAAGCAAUCUGCCCCUAAGACGAGGAUAACAGUUGGAAACGACUGCUAAGACUGGAUAGGAGACAAGAAGGCAUCUUCUUGUUUUUAAAAGACCUAGCAAUAGGUAUGCUUAGGGAGGAGCUUGCGUCACAUUAGUUAGUUGGUGGGGUAAAGGCCUACCAAGACUAUGAUGUGUAGCCGGGCUGAGAGGUUGAACGGCCACAUUGGGACUGAGACACGGCCCAAACUCCUACGGGAGGCAGCAGUAGGGAAUUUUCGGCAAUGGAGGAAACUCUGACCGAGCAACGCCGCGUGAACGAUGAAGUAUUUCGGUACGUAAAGUUCUUUUAUUAGGGAAGAAUAAAUGAUGGAAAAAUCAUUCUGACGGUACCUAAUGAAUAAGCCCCGGCUAACUAUGUGCCAGCAGCCGCGGUAAUACAUAGGGGGCAAGCGUUAUCCGGAAUUAUUGGGCGUAAAGGGUGCGUAGGCGGUUAAAUAAGUUUAUGGUCUAAGUGCAAUGCUCAACAUUGUGAUGCUAUAAAAACUGUUUAGCUAGAGUAAGAUAGAGGCAAGUGGAAUUCCAUGUGUAGUGGUAAAAUGCGUAAAUAUAUGGAGGAACACCAGUAGCGAAGGCGGCUUGCUGGGUCUUUACUGACGCUGAGGCACGAAAGCGUGGGGAGCAAACAGGAUUAGAUACCCUGGUAGUCCACGCCGUAAACGAUGAGUACUAAACGUUGGGUAAAACCAGUGUUGAAGUUAACACAUUAAGUACUCCGCCUGAGUAGUACGUACGCAAGUAUGAAACUUAAAGGAAUUGACGGGACUCCGCACAAGCGGUGGAUCAUGUUGUUUAAUUCGAAGGUACCCGAAAAACCUCACCAGGUCUUGACAUGCUUCUGCAAAGCUGUAGAAACACAGUGGAGGUUAUCAGUUGCACAGGUGGUGCAUGGUUGUCGUCAGCUCGUGUCGUGAGAUGUUGGGUUAAGUCCCGCAACGAGCGCAACCCUUAUUGUUAGUUACCAGCACGUAAUGGUGGGGACUUUAGCAAGACUGCCAGUGAUAAAUUGGAGGAAGGUGGGGAUGACGUCAAAUCAUCAUGCCCCUUAUGACCUGGGCUACAAACGUGAUACAAUGGCUGUUACAAAGGGUAGCUGAAGCGCAAGUUUUUGGCGAAUCUCAAAAAAACAGUCUCAGUUCGGAUUGAAGUCUGCAACUCGACUUCAUGAAGUUGGAAUCGCUAGUAAUCGCGAAUCAGCAUGUCGCGGUGAAUACGUUCUCGGGGUUUGUACACACCGCCCGUCAAACCACGAAAGUUGGCAAUACCCAAAGCCGGUGGCCUAACUUCGCAAGAAGAU